AUCCAGCUGACGAUUCGCAAAUAGGACGAAACGCGCGUCCUGUCUGGAU
rfam:Schistosoma rodhaini strain Burundi genome assembly, scaffold: SROB_scaffold0012467